rnacentral:lncRNA from 1 species
CCCCUUUGAGGAUAGUAGAGAAUGCUCGACAUAAGAUGCCAUCUAUUGCUCCUUGAAGAAGCACUGCUACCUUGAAAGUCUCCAGAUGAUCGAUGGAGUCGGCGAUCCCAUCGUAGGUCUCAACUUAGGGCACCUUAAAGUGCUGAGGGAGUGGCUCCUGCAUUAUCCUCGACAUGAAGGAUGGCUCACUGUUAAACUCUUCAUAGGAUUGCACCGAGGAGGUAUUA